rnacentral:rRNA from 1 species
GACGAACGCUGGCGGCGUGCUUAACACAUGCAAGUCGAACGAUGAAACCUAGCUUGCUAGGUCGAUUAGUGGCGGACGGGUGAGUAACACGUGACUAACCUGCCCCUUUCUCUGGGAUAACGCUCCGAAAGGAGUGCUAAUACCGGAUACUCACACCGAGGCACAUGCCUUGGUGUGGAAAGUUUUUCGGAAAGGGAUGGAGUCGCGGCCUAUCAGCUUGUUGGUGAGGUAACGGCUCACCAAGGCGGCGACGGGUAGCCGGCCUGAGAGGGCGACCGGCCACACUGGGACUGAGACACGGCCCAGACUCCUACGGGAGGCAGUAGUGGGGAAUAUUGCACAAUGGGCGCAAGCCUGAUGCAGCGACGCCGCGUGGGGGAUGAAGGUCUUCGGAUUGUAAACCUCUUUCAGUAGGGACGAAGCGAAAGUGACGGUACCUAAAGAAGAAGCACCGGCUAACUACGUGCCAGCAGCCGCGGUAA